rnacentral:lncRNA from 1 species
CCUCGCAAAAGCAGUACUGGCACAAGCUUCAGUUGUACUGUGUGUAUUCUGGGACACACUUCAGUCAAUAGCGUUGGCUAUCAUGAAAACAAGUUUUAUAGUUUCCAAAAUUUCCAUAUUUUAAAGACGAAAUGCAAAAAUGUAAUCAAGUAAUCCUUGCAAACUAUAAUCUAAUUACAAAAUUAUUUUUACUUAUUUUUUGUAAUCUGAUUACGUAGUCCCGAUUACAUGUAAUCCAUUACUACCCAGCCCUUGGAUAUCGUGCACUUAAAGUUUUCUGUGUGUCUCUCUUCCAGUCGUCCAGGGAGGUUCUGGUUUCUGUUUUGAAAGACCUUAAAGACAUACAACAGCCAGACGGUGCCUUGCUGGAAGCUCCCAAGGUUGUGUUCAUGGCACAUAAUCCUCAAAGCAGGCUGUUCCAGCAGUGGAGCUACAAGGUGCUCGAUGCAGAUCAGGCGACCAGGGACUCUGGAGCUAAAGGACUUGAGGAAGAGGAGGAGAACACAGAGACUUUAAUUUGCACGGUCCUGUCAGCGCUGCAGAAACUGGAAAUAUCUAAGAAGGCUGUUCCUGGGUCAGUGCUGGAUGAGGCUCCGGAGCUGAUCGUCUCUCAGCGGGUUCUUCUCAAGCUUUUGGCUCGAGACGAGCUCCAGACUCCACAACAACACCUACAGAUGUUCAGCUCACCGUUAAACAUCAGCAUGGACUUUGGUAAGAG